rnacentral:snRNA from 1 species
GUGCUCGCUUCAUCAGCACAUAUACUAAAAUCGGAACGAUACAGAGAAGAUUAGCAUGGCCCCUACACAAGGAUGAAACAUAAAUUCAGGAAGUGUUCCAUAUUAGA